GAUUCCGAGAAUACAAUUGUUCCGAGAAGUUUAUCGAUAAAAAUAAAUUUAUAGAUAUUAGGUUAUUAUGUAUAUUAUCGAUAACUAGCUGAAUUACCCGGCGUUGCCCUGAAACAAAUUCGUGACAAAUUAGAUAACGCCAUGAUAAACUUCUCGGAACAAUUUUAUUCUUGGAAUC